AAGUCGUAACAAGGUCUCCGUUGGUGAACCAGCGGAGGGAUCAUUAAAGAGUUGUAAAACUCCUUAAAACCCACUGUGCGAAAUACCUGUCGCCUCCUGAUGAAAGCAAAAACGGCAGGCGGUCCCUGGGGAGGGGACCUAAAGCCUAAGGCGCCUGCCGGACUGCAUUAUCAAAAAAUCUUUAUUGUUCUCUUAGCAUCUGAGUUCAUAACAAAAUACGUUAAAACUUUCAACAACGGAUCUCUUGGUUCUG
rnacentral:misc_RNA from 1 species